UCCCUGGUGGUCCAGUGGUUAGGACUCAGCACUUUCGCCGCUGAGGCCUGGGUUCAGUCCCUGACCUGGGAA
rnacentral:tRNA from 1 species